rnacentral:rRNA from 1 species
AGAUUGAACGCUAGCGGGAUGCUUUACACAUGCAAGUCGAACGGCAGCGCGGACUUCGGUCUGGCGGCGAGUGGCGAACGGGUGAGUAAUAUAUCGGAACGUGCCCAGUAGCGGGGGAUAACUACGCGAAAGCGUGGCUAAUACCGCAUACGCCCUACGGGGGAAAGGGGGGAUUCUUCGGAACCUCUCAC